rnacentral:lncRNA from 1 species
CACAGUUACCCACAGUUGUUUACUGGAGAAAUGUUGCACAACAGUAUGCAUGAUAUAUACUCAUUCUUGUAGCAUUAGUAGCUUUAUAGUAAACAGGUAAAAUACAUUUGAAAUAAUAACUUAUUACCCUGCUAAUACGCUUGUCUCCUGAGGGAAAUUGUUGUCAAGAACUCUCACCCAGCUCUGUGUCUGUAAACAUUAAGAUAUGCAUGUAUUUUUUUAAAAAAUAUUUUUAGGAGGAAAGAACAAAAUACAAAUGCGUGAUUUUUUUUAAUUUCAGAACUCCCCCGACUUUUUACUGAUCUGUUUCUUAGGACUCUAAUUUCGAAUUUGCUCUCUGUGCCUCUCGAUUUAAUUACCAUCACAGCACUCCCCGGCGUCACCUGAAGACGCACAGUGAAUGUCUGCCAUUGACACCUGCUCAUUGGAGCCUGCUAAUGUCCCAGCAGAUGAAGACAAGAGCAAAUGGACCGUCAGCAAUGCGCUUCAUGACGAGUGAACUGGAACCUGAGAGCUCGGUGAUUCCACGUGACGUAGCUCCAGCCAUUUUUUCCAGUCCUGGAGGUACGGACCAAGGAGUGAGUUGCUGAAUUGUGUUCGAAGAGCACUUUCAGGUUGCUAAGCAACUGCCCAGCUGUCUUCCAAAGAGGCAGUAGCAUUUUGCACCCCAGCAGCAGUGAAUGAGAGUUCCCGUCGCUCCCCUUCCUGUCAGCAUCUGAUGCUGUCGGUGGCUUGGAUCUUGGCUCUUCCGGUCGGAGCAGCACUAUCUCAGGUUCGCCUUCCUUUGUAUUCACUGUGCUGUGCUCUCAGUGUCCUCUGCUGUCCUCGCUGUGAAACUUAAUUCAUUGCAAAGACUUGCAAGGUGGGGC